AGUGAACGCUGGCGGUAGGCCUAACACAUGCAAGUCGAACGGCAGCACAGUAAGAGCUUGCUCUUACGGGUGGCGAGUGGCGGACGGGUGAGGAAUACAUCGGAAUCUACUUUUUCGUGGGGGAUAACGUAGGGAAACUUACACUAAUACCGCAUACGACCUACGGGUGAAAGCAGGGGAUCUUCGGACCUUGCGCGAUUGAAUGAGCCGAUGUCGGAUUAGCUAGUUGGCGGGGUAAAGGCCCACCAAGGCGACGAUCCGUAGCUGGUCUGAGAGGAUGAUCAGCCACACUGGAACUGAGACACGGUCCAGACUCCUACGGGAGGCAGCAGUGGGGAAUAUUAGACAAUGGGCGCAAGCCUGAUCCAGCCAUACCGCGUGGGUGAAGAAGGCCUUCGGGUUGUAAAGCCCUUUUGUUGGGAAAGAAAAGCAGCAGGUUAAUACCCCGCUGUUCUGACGGUACCCAAAGAAUAAGCACCGGCUAACUUCGUG
rnacentral:rRNA from 1 species